UGAGCAACAUAUGCAAACUCCAGCCUCCUCUUCCGAUGUCAAUACUUCUCACGUUUUAAAAUGACACCUUGUUGGUGAACUUUUGAGGAAAACAGACACUCCAUGGUUAUGUAUGUGAUUUUUCCCCCCUCUUAAUGUUACAGUGAAUGCCCAAAAUCUGAUGAAUGUUGACGUUCCCAUGUGAACGCUGACAAUCCCAGAUGGAUUCUGAAAUUAGAUAUAUCUAUUUCCUCACUUUUCAGACAUAUACCAGCGAAUGUUUUGACUGUGACAUUUAGGUGACAACGUCUGAUUUUUCAGACAUUCACAUGUGAGCGUCAAUAGUCAAUGGAUUUUGGACAUUUUCUGUCUCAUAUAUGUGCAAACAUAUAAUCACACACAUAAUAGAUAAAAAUGGAUGGAUAGAUAGAGAAAUUUCCAUUAAGUCUGUGAGAGAUCCUUUUUUGGUCAUAUAAGAAGCAUAAUUUUAAAGGAAGACCAAUAAAUGGUUAUCUCUCUUCUAGCAGCCUCAAGAAUAUGUAUUAGCUAUAACUGGAAAAAGAAGGAAGUACUGUACCAAUAACUUCUCAAUGGCUGUUGAAAAUCUGGGCCACACUAAGGAUAAUAAAACUUACAAACUCUGCCCAAACAAGGUUGGUGAGGAGACAGUGUCUCCCUGUUAUGUUUUGGAAUUUGAAAGUGGAUUCUAUACAUUAAUACGAGUUCAGUAUGGUAUAAGCACAUUAAGGCAGACAUUAUUUAAUUGGGGGUGGCUAAUUAAGUUCAUUGACAGAAAGAGAAGAGUGAGCACUUGCUUUUAUCCCAAGAAUAGCUAAGGCAGGAGAGAUGCCACCACCCUCACCUGUCCGCCUCUGAGAAGAAAAGAAAAACUACCCUGGCUUCAAGUCUUCACCCCAUGCUCUGCCUCAGAAUGGAAGCAAUCCUGGAAGCAGGACAGGAGAGCAAGAGCACUCUCCUAUUUAUGAUAUCCGCCAACCGGCACUGAGAGCUGUGUGGCGACUUUCCACUUAUGCAGGGGUUAUGUUCUGGGGUCCCACGUUCAUAAGUGAAAUGCAAGUAAGUGGGGACAUCAUCUUUGGGCUCUGGGGUGGGUUUUCUGGCUUGCCACUCGUCACUUCCGGGUUCCCAGCACUGCGCGUGUGCGCUGUCAUGUGCAAGUAGACUGAGCAGAAGUGGGGAGUUGUUUGUACUGGAAGAAAUGUAGCCUUCGUAACAAGCAGCCAACACGUUAAUCUGCUUCUCAAAAAAAAGUGUUGAGUGCCCAGAUCUCUCUCAAUGUAGAAGGUACAGUCAUUUUUCUUGAAAAGAGGAAAAACUAAAAACAAGCAAAGAGGGAGUGAGCACAUGGGGCAACACCCUGGACCACAGCAGCAACAUUUAGGUCACCCAACUCUCUUCUAAAACAGUUUGGGUGGGGGGAGAGGUAAAGGUCGAAGCAAGUCUCCAGCCAACUCUCACUGUCAAAAAUUCAGGGACUCCUGACUAUCCUGCAUUGGAGGGUUGGACUAGAUGAUUAUUUGCAUCUCUUCCAACUCUAUGGUUCUAUAUUCCUCCAGCUCCCAACAAAGCAAUUCUCCCCCCACCCCUAGCUAUUGCAUUUCCACCAGUCACAGCUCUCCCCCCCCCCCCAUCACCAGAACUGGGUAAAAAAAGACAACUCAAAUUCUCGAAUCGUGCCAAGUGGCACCUACAGCAUCCAUCGCCCUCGAGUGCCAUUAUUCAGAGCCUCAAAACAGGCAGCUUCCUGCAACACUGAAUUCCCAUGGCGGUGCCAGGCACACAUCCCCAGAUAUUAUCAGCCAGGCUCUGCGGUAAACAGAAAACAGGAGAUGCACUUCCCAGGAGCUGCUCCAUUUCAGCGCUGGGUGAAACCGUUCCUCCCCACUAAAAAGUUUCCUGCUGCUCUCAUGCGGUUCAGGCUGGCUGUUACGGAAAGUGCAACACCAUGCCCAUUGCCAAACAGUAAAAUAAAUUUAAAGAAACAUUGUAAAAUUCCCCACUAAGGAAGCUUUGGAACCCAAAACGCCACCACAGAAAUCUUGUCGUCCACCCCAUCUGUUCUUGCUGUUACUCUAGCCGGAAAGCCAGUCUCUUCUACCCUGACAGGUUGCACCAGAAAUAGCUAUGCCAUCACACAGCCAGCGUCGAAAGGGGGGGGAGUUGUUCCUACAUGGGAACAGGCCGUAGUAACAACAACAAAAACAAAUAAUAAUGCCUUCCCUCUUUUGCUACCCUCUUGUUUCUCCUUACAUAGGGAUAAUAAAACACAAGAGAAUGCAAGAUCUAAGCAGAAUCAUUUUUAAUCCUCCACCUCCUUUGCAAGGUCUUCAACAUGGCAUUAUUUAAUUUUCCACUUUUUUCUACUGUUUGUUUAUGCCAAUGCAGGGUGGCAGAAGCAGAAAGAAAAGCCAGAUUAAUGAAAAUCCAAGCACGUCUGUGUUCACUAAGCAAGCAGUCAUAGACUUCAGUGGGUAUUUUAUUAUUUCUAAGGGAAAACACAGGAAGGGGGUGAGGCACAGCUUAAAAAAAAGGUGUGUCACUCUUUCUGUAUAGAUAUAGAAGGACCCAUGACUAGAGUGUACUUUAUUUGCAAGUCUCAUUUUCCAUCCCACCGUUCGAAUACAUUUCCAGGCUCAGAAAACAAGCCAGGAGUUUAGCUCAGCCAGAGCUAACUCAAGCUGACAGCUAUAGCACUGAUGCCUGCCAGACUUGAUUGACUGGUUGGAUAUAUUUAGACCUGAGGGAGGGAACGAAGAAAAAUGGAGGGUGGGUGGGUGGGAGAAAUGAGAAAGAUAAGGAGGAGGACACUGUUGUACGUUUGAACUAAAAAUAUAAAAUCACAAAGGCUAUUGUUAGCAAUGGUAAAUAAUAAAAAAGGUAAGUGGCAUCGCCUCCAGCAGGGUCUUCAUCCCCACCCAUCUCACACUCCAUAUGAACAUAAUCUCAGACAGAUAUCCAUUUGCAGUUUUAGGUUGGAGAGAGAGGAAGGAAGGACACCUUUCUAUACGUCGAUGGUCCCUGGCUCCAUCCCCAGCAAGGUUAUUAAGAUCUCGGGUAGUAUCCCUGCCGAAGACUCUGGAGACAGGUGCUAGCCAAGAGGAGACCAACCUGAGCCUAAGUACCAAUGAUCAGGUCCAGCUGGAGUAGUGUUGCACUUAGGUAAUUUUAGACUUAAUGGAAGCCCCCGCAUUAGACAGCAUGAAACGCAAUGCUUCACCGAGAUCAAAAUGUGGUAUGUCAGUCCUCUGAGGGCCUUUCUGCUCAUUCUGCUGGGCCCUGAACGCCUACCCAAUUGCCCCAAUGGUGCAGUUGAAUAAUAUAUAUAUAUUAAGGCACCAUGAUACACAUAUGCUCAUAUGAUUUAGCUCUGCGAAAGGUCACAUGCUCUACAGGCAGAAGGCUCAAUCCCCGGCAUCUCCAGUGAAAAUGAUCUCAGCCAGCAUGGUGGAGCAUGAACCCUGUUAGAGACCUGCUGUUGGACAACAAUGGAUCACAAGAUAUAUGGCCCAUCUAGCCCAGGGUCCUGUUUCUCACAGUGGCCAACCAGAUGCCUCUGGGAUGCCCAGAAACUCGGAAUGAAGCCAACAGCCUCCCGCUCUCCACUUCCUGUAACUGCAAAUAUUUGCAAUUGCAUACUGCCUUUAGGAGAAUGGUUCCUGUAGCUCUGCAGGUGAUGCUUGGCUGCAGCUCCCAUCCCUGACCAUAGGGGCAGGAUGGCUACAGCUGAUGGGAGCCGGAGUGCAGCAACAUCUGGAGGACCAGAGGUUCCCACGCUCUCGGUUCUAGAAGCCCAACCCCACGGACCAACUUUGACAGGUCUUAGGAACAAGUGAGCGCCUCAAAGCUCUAUGACGGACGCCAUUUUCACCAGAAGCCAAAACAGUUUCCUGCAAUAGUUUGAUAUUUCUGUUUUGUUAGCCACCAUAAUAAAUAGGUGGUUUUAGAGAUUAACGGCAUCCUGCCAGAACAAACUUGUCUGAAGUGCUGCUCAAUGCUUUCAUCCCCGCAGUCGCCUCUAUAUAUCAUUCAUAAAGUUUGUUACACAUCAUGGAGAAAGUGGGGGUGAGCAAUGCUGUAAUAGCUGGUGACAGAGUGGGAGGAGCCGGUAUUGGAUGAAUGAAGUAUGAUGAUUGCUUCUCCAGCACAAUAAUUCAGGAACAUGGUUAACGGGCGCAAUUCCUUGUUCUCUCCACUCCUCUCUUUUUACUUGACCUCCCAUGUAGCUUAAUUUCUCCCUCCUUUACUCCCGUCCACUCUGCCCACUGCCCUUGUGGCCUGAUUACGAUGUCUGGGACUUUUUGCUUGCCUCUGUUCCCAGGACUUCCUGACUCUCCCACACAGAGCGUCUAAUUCCCCCGCUCUGCAUAAUCUCCCUCUCUCCCCCGCUCCCCCAUAGACACACCCUCUUCUUCUGGCAUUAUGGAC